rnacentral:rRNA from 1 species
UACGAAGGGGGCUAGCGUUGCUCGGAAUCACUGGGCGUAAAGGGUGCGUAGGCGGGUUUUUAAGUCAGGGGUGAAAUCCUGGAGCUCAACUCCAGAACUGCCUUUGAUACUGAGGAUCUUGAGUUCGGGAGAGGUGAGUGGAACUGCGAGUGUAGAGGUGAAAUUCGUAGAUAUUCGGAAGAACACCAGUGGCGAAGGCGACUCACUGGCCCGAUACUGACGCUGAGGCGCGAAAGCGUGGGGAGCAAACAGG